rnacentral:lncRNA from 1 species
GGCUGAACCCAGAAUCUGCUCCAGACGCACCAGCCCCUUAUUGGAGAACUGAGAAGCAUUUGGAGAGGCAGAGCCCUGUGUGCUGGGGAGCCCAGAGAGGACAGGACAGCAUAGUGGAUUCCCAUGGUACUACCGCCCUGGCCCUCCUAAGGAAUUAAGCUUCAAAGAUACAUGUGUGUUCACUGCUGUAUCCCCAGUACCCAGG